rnacentral:misc_RNA from 1 species
GAUGAAGAACGUAGCGAAAUGCGAUAAGUAAUGUGAAUUGCAGAAUUCAGUGAAUCAUCGAAUCUUUGAACGCACAUUGCGCCCGCCAGUAUUCUGGCGAGCAUGCCUGUUCGAGCGUCAUUUCAACCAUCAAGCCCCGGGCUUGUGUUGGAGCCCUGCGGCUGCCGCAGCCUCCCAAAACCAGUGGCGGGCUCGCUAUCACACCGAGUGCAGUAGUUUACUCUUCGCUCAGGGCGUGUGGCGGGUGCUAGCCGUGAAACCCCCAACUUCUCAAGGUUGACCUCGGAUCAGGUAGGAAUACCCGCUGAACUUAAGCAUAUCAAUAAGCGGAGGA